UCAGAUUGAACGCUGGCGGCAGGCUUAACACAUGCAAGUCGAGCGGGGGAAGGUAGCUUGCUACUGGACCUAGCGGCGGACGGGUGAGUAAUGCUUAGGAAUCUGCCUAUUAGUGGGGGACAACAUUCCGAAAGGAAUGCUAAUACCGCAUACGUCCUACGGGAGAAAGCAGGGGACCUUCGGGCCUUGCGCUAAUAGAUGAGCCUAAGUCGGAUUAGCUAGUUGGUGGGGUAAAGGCCUACCAAGGCGACGAUCUGUAGCGGGUCUGAGAGGAUGAUCC
rnacentral:rRNA from 2 species